UCGAGAAUCUUUCGCAAUGGGCGCAAGCCUGACGAAGCGACGCCGUGUGAGCGAAGAAGGCCUUCGGGUUGUAAAGCUCUUUCGCUAGGGAACAAGAAAGGCGGAAUAAUAAUCCGCCGAUUUGAUGGUACUUGGUAAAGAAGCACCGGCUAACUCCGUGCCAGCAGCUGCGGUAAUACGGAGGGUGCAAGCAUUGAUCGGAAUUACUGGGCGUAAAGGGCGCGUAGGCGGUUGGAAAAGUCAGAUGUGAAAUUCCGGGGCUCAACCUCGGAGCUGCAUUUGAAACUUUCCAGCUAGAGUUCAGUUAGGGAAAACGGAAUUCCACAUGUAGCGGUGAAAUGCGUAGAUAUGUGGAGGAACACCGGUGGUGAAGACGGUUUUCUGGGCUGAAACUGACGCUGAGGCGCGAAAGCAAGGGGAGCAAACAGGAUUAGAUACCCCGGUAGUCC
rnacentral:rRNA from 1 species